rnacentral:rRNA from 1 species
UACGGAGGGUGCGAGCGUUGUUCGGAAUUAUUGGGCGUAAAGCGCGUGUAGGCGGUUCUCUAAGUCUGAUGUGAAAGCCCCGGGCUCAACCCGGGAAGUGCAUUGGAAACUGGAGAACUUGAGUACGGGAGAGGGUAGUGGAAUUCCGAGUGUAGGGGUGAAAUCCGUAGAUAUUCGGAGGAACACCGGUGGCGAAGGCGGCUACCUGGACCGAUACUGACGCUGAGACGCGAAAGCGUGGGGAGCAAACAGGAUUAGAUACCCUGGUAGUCCACGCCGUAAACGAUGGGCACUAGGUGUCGCGGGUAUUGACCCCUGCGGUGCCGAAGCUAACGCAUUAAGUGCCCCGCCUGGGGAGUACGGCCGCAAGGCUAAA